AACAGCUCAGGGAACAGGCUUGCCUUGCUCUGGUAUGGGAACCAUCAGUUGAGUUUGCAGUCAAUGUGACGGCAUGUGACAACACGGAGGGUGUAGUACAGGUGGAAAG
rnacentral:rRNA from 16 species